CACAAAGAGAUACCAAUUUUGGUAUAUUUUCUUGUCUUAUUUUUUUCUAGUCACAGAUUUUAUUUUAUACAUGAUAUGAUCACACUGAAUAUACAAUUUUGAUUAGAGAUUUAGACAUACCUACUUUGUACUAGAAGUAUAUAUCUUCUCAAGAAUAAUGAACAUUAUUUAUUUAACUGUCACCCUUCCCUUCUGUUGAACCAUUUUAUUUAUUUCCAAAAUUUUGCAACCCUAACAAAACAUGCCUGUACUUCUUUUUCCAUAAUUAUGUUUUUAUUUAUUUAGAAACAUUUCUUGGUAAGAGAGUUGGCAGUAAUCCUAAGUUAAAGAUAUGAAUAUUUGAGGGGAUGAGGGAGUUCACUAAUAUAUAUUACAAAACUGGAACAUACACUUAAGAUUAGGAGUAUGAGUAUGAGUAUGAGAUAUGUUCCAAAUAACACGGUUAGUAACUUGGAUGAAAGCAAAAUACAACUCUAAGACAUUAUUGAAAUUUGUUCUGGUGGCUCUCUGAACUUUUGAUUGCUUACUUUCUUGUGCUCACUUAUGUUCUAAAUGCUUGAGAUUCCGGAACAAGUGAUCUUUGGGAAAGAAAGAUUUUAUAAAACACACCAUGCUAUACUUCUGCAUUUUGGCCUCUUUUAAACAACUCAGUAGAAGACUUUUUAAUUUCGAAGAGAAACACAAUUUUUAUCUUUGUUUCCUUCUUUAUUAAUAAUGAGAUUAACUUUUUCUGUUACUGCAAGACUUCUUUAAUAAACUGUUUUUUUCUAAUCACAGCUAGAAUGCAACAAAAAUAUAUUAGAGAAUUAUCUUUGAGAUAUCAUAAUUUAUGUGAAAUUAUUUUGAAAAGUGCUUGUUCAUAUCUUUUGCCCACUUUUUGAUGGGGUUGUUUGUUUGUUUUUUCUUAUAUAUUUGUUUAAGUUUCUUACAGAUGCUGUAAUUAAAUUUACUUAUGAAGUAGAAAAAGCAGUGUAAGUUAUAUCUAGAUUUGUAGACUUUGUUGCUGUUGUUAAUCACCCCUUUUGAUUAAACCUGUUUGAAAAAUCAUUUAUCUCUCAUUUUACAAAGUCUGUUAAUGGAAACCUGGCUCCUUUCUCUCCACUUAUGUUACUUGCCUGUUCUAAUAGGGCACAUAGUGCCGUAGAUGUAGAUGAAAAGGCAUAAUCCUCAACUGCCCUUGUCAUCUCCUACUUCAACUUAUUCCAUCCAUUCAAAUCCUUUAGUCUCUUUCUCAGAGAACAAAAGAUUUUGGAUGUUCAGAUUCAGGCACUUACUGAAUUUUUCUGCAUUGUAAAGGCUGGAGGAGAAAAGGUAUUUUUUUCUCUUGGAAGCUAGGAACAAUUUUGCUCCAACAUCACGUGAAACUGAAAAAGUGGGGCUGGGGGUGGAAGAGAUUGUUGCCCAGUGUGCUUCUUCCCUGGCCCAGACUGUGUUUCUAUACAAGUGGACCUCUGAGGACAUACAUUUACCUAACAUCACUUUCUCCAACUUAGGACAACACUGGGCUUCCUGGAAGCUCAGUUCUCCUUACAGGGCAGGCCCAGACUCCCUAUUUCCAGAGAAAUUUCAGGGAUGUUGCUCAAUUGUCAACAGAAGCAAGGGAAACCCAAGCAUCUUAUACUUUUUGUCUUUAUGAUAAUAGAUUUAGCUAGGAAAGUGAGGAUGGAUAAAUUUUGAAGGCUGGUCAACCUUAUAUUUCAUUGCUUAUCUAAGCAACUUCUUUUGUUUUUAAAUUUAACUUUCAUUUUAAGUUCAGGGAUACAUGUGCAUCUAGUUACUUAAUUGCUGCACACACUCAGCCUUAUCAGCCUUAACCUGAUGCCAUAAUGUAGCUUCAACGUAUCACUCUUAGAUUUAGAUCUUCAUCCAAUUCUUCUUUCCUGAACCCUUAGUUUAUAUCCAUGACUGCUUAGAGAUGUGUAGAUGCUACACGGAAGUCUUAAAUAUCCUUGAGCUCUAUAUUCACACAGCAAACUAUUUGGAUUUGCUUUUUAGCCACGCUCCUCAAACCUGUUCUUUUUUCCUGAAUAUCAAUUUUAAUAAAUUGUGCUACCAUCAACCCAGUCUCCUAUAUUAUUCUAGAUUAUUUUUCUUCACUCUACUUUGUUUCUAAACUAAUUGUUGUUUAUUAAAAUUAUCAGUUCUACCUUUCAGAAGUGCUUAAGUCUAUCUGGACAUUGAUUUGGUUCAAACCUCACCAUUUUAAAGAGCCAGCUUAUAAACUACCCCUGCUCUAAACAGGCUAUCCUAUCCAGCAAGGUCACUCAAUCCUGUGAACAGCCAGUGCCAUUCCAAGGGGAAGGCAUAUUAACUCAGAAAAUGCUGACACACCUGACCUUUCAUCCCUGCCACUCAGCAGUUCUACAGAAGACCAAUUUGUAUGCAAACAAUUCACUUACAAGCCAGAAUUCCUACAAGCAUAAUACAGUUUUUCUGUAAACUCUUAGUGAUAGAAUAUGUAUUUAUGAAUUCCUUGGGAAGGGUUGCAAACUCGAAUGACCACAAGGGCCAGCCAGGGAUGGAGUGGGAACUGUGGGCAGGAGGAGAUGCUUUGUAGAGUCCAGAGGUGGCAGUGACUGUUCAGCACCAGAAACAUUGCCAUAUGGGAACUCAGACUUCAGGUAGUUGGGUCUCCUGCAUUUUGAGAGAAGCUAGAAAUGUCUUGGUAUUUAAAUGUUCACAACUAACAUAGGAAUUUAAAAAAAAAAGAUGAAGUCAAGUGUAUGCAGGUUUUGUUUUAAGGGACUUAGAAAUAAGCAAGAGCUUUAGAUUCAUAUACUUUGUCAGCUCUUCUGUUUUAAUUAACUUAAUAUCUACUGCCAGACCCUUGGUAAAACAUUUAAAGAUUAGAGAGUUGGGGUAUUAACAUCUCUGGUGUGCAUUCAGAAGUGUAUAUUAACUAGGCAAACUGAUUUCAAUAUACACUAAUACAUUAUUGCUGUGGAAAUUGUCUGGAAAUGGAAAUAUUUCCAAAGUCCCUUUAGGGAGUGUUAUUUAGAGCUAAACAGAACAACAGAAUCUCAGUUUUCCUCAAAGUUCUUUGUAGAAUAAUCUUAGUUAUAUUUCCAAAAUUAUAUUUGAUACUGGUUAAUAAAGGUAAAUGCUGCCAUCUGAACUCACUUAUUAUAAAUGUCUAAACUUGCAUUUGGUAGUAAAAUGUUGACAGGCACAACUUCCUAGUGGAAAGCACAUUGGACUGUGAGUUGGGAAAUGUGAGUUCCAGUCCUAGUUUUGAGUGCAUAGCUGUGGAAUGGAGGUCAAGUCAUUUGAUUUACCCAGGCUUUUGUGUUACAACUGUAAAUUAAGGUGGUUGGAAGAUAACUUCAAAGAUCCCUUCUAUAAUUCUGUUCCUUUGAAAAUAUUCUAGAGUUCGAAUUUCUCUUUCUUGUGACAUAGAAGAAUGUUUAGAUUAUGUAUGGAUGGUUCACUUAAAAGUUUAUUUGGGACAGGCAGCCAGCACUUUUUUUGAAAAAAUGGUCAUACUUACUAAUAUAAAAUUUAGUCUUAAAGAUUAUUAGGAAAAGUGUAUUCUCACCAAACACUUGAAAUUAUUUUUAGUAAAAGUAAAUAGAGUCUCUGAGCCAGAAACUACCCGUUGUUAAUCAGGAUGUUUCGGGCUCAAGUUCUAAAUCUGCCACUCAUUACUGUGUGACUUUAGAAAGAUCAUGUAAUUGGCCAGAUACAGUGGCUUAUGCCUGUAAUCCCAGCACUUUGGGAGGUUGAGGCAGAAGGACUGUUUGAGGCCAGGAGUUCAAAAGCAACCUGAGCAACGUAGUGACAUCCUGUCUCUACAAGAAAUUAAAAAAUUAACUGGGUGUGGUAGCCCAUGCCUGUAGUCCCAGCUACUUGGGAGGCUGAGACGGGAGAACCUCUUAAGCCCAGGAGGUAAAGAUUGCAGUGAGGGGUGAUCGCACCACUACAUUCCAGCCUAGGCAACAUUGUGAGACCCUGUCUCAAAAACAAACAAACAAAAAAAAUCAUGUAUUGAUUUGAUUUUCUUAUCUUAAAAUGUAGGCAAUAAAACCUCUCUUCUAGCUUUCCAGGUUUCCAAAUGCUUUAAGGUCAGUUAAAAUUUAAUAGUCAUAAUUGGCUUUUGUGGAAAACUUCAUGACCUCAGACUUUUAUUGUUUACCUUUUAAUGUGUUUCAUAUGAUACAGGUUUCCUUAUGAAUAUUCAAAAAGAUAUCCAAAGUUGGCAGUUCCAGUGAUUUUAAGAGUGGAUAUAGUAUAUAAAAAUGGAUUGAGAAAGUGCUACAAAUUAGAAAACCCUUUGGAAUGCUAUAGCUGUGGGACAAUUUUCUUAAAAAUAAAAAAAAAGCAAAAACCCCCUUUCUCACAAAUGAUUAUAAAAAUAGGCAAUAUUCUAGUGCUAUUAGUAGUUCCAUGCUUUCGUAAAUGAUUGUGCAUGUUUUUGCUAACUGCAAACACUAGACAAGAAAUAAAAUUUCCGUCUAAACCACAGGCCACAUCACCAUACUAUAGCAACUCUAUGGAUGAGUCACUGACUUAUGGAUUCUGUGUUUCAUGAAGCUUCUGCAAUCUCUUCUUUACAGUGAAUGUAGCUGUUUGCUUGGCAUAGUAGCAGAUAGCAAGACAGCACAGACUAUUAGAGUGGAGGGGAGAAAUGGAAGAAUGAAGGGCAAAAACAUCUCUUGUCCUGAGUGGGCUCAAGCAGGUAUGCCUAGCAUCUUUCUUUCCCAUAAAGAAGGAUAAGUGAGAGUGAUUUAGCCUCCUGCAGGUAAGCACUGUCUGAUGGCAUCACUGUUAGGCCUCCACAAGAGUCAUUAUGAUAAUAACACCUUACAGGAGAAUGACUUUUUUUUUUUUUUUUUGAGAUGGAGUCUCGCUCUGUCACCCAGGCUGGAGUACAGUGGCGCAAUCUCGGCUCACUGCAAGCUCUGCCUCCUGGGUUCAUGCCAUUCUCCUGCCUCAGCCUCCAGAGUAGCUGAGUCUACAGGUGCCUGCCACCACUCCCGGAUAAUUUUUUUGUAUUUUUAGUAGAGAUGGGGUUUCACCGCGUUAGCCAGGAUGGUCUCCAUCUCCUGACCUCGUGAUCCGCCCGCCUCGGCCUCCCAAAGUGCUGGGAUUGAGAAUGGACAUUUAGAGUUUACAAAGCAGCUUUACAACCAGUGUCCUAUUUGAUUACAACAGCCUGAGUCACUAAGUACAUUUUAUAGAUGGUAGAGUAUUGAGUUUCAAGAGGUUCAAGUGACUUGCCUGAUGUCACACAGUCAGUAAGGACAGGGCUAAGUGUGAAAUUCAGGCCAACUGUUUGCAAAAACAAUAACAAUUUUCCCUAUAACAGCCACUGCUCGUUAGGAUAAGGUGGACUAGGUCUGACUAAUUAAGCUGAUAACCAGCGCUCUUGCUAAACAACUAAGCCUACAAGGUUAUUGGUACCUUCCCACUGGAAUCUUAUAUUCAUGGUUCAAGAACUCUGAAUUUGUCUUUCUCUCGAGAAUCCAUUUAAUUCACUUCAAUUUAUAUUCAUGGAGUAUUUUACUAAAUACUAAUAUUUUACUAAAUAAAAAGUAUAUGCUUUUAUUAAAUCAUGGCUUCUUAAUAUGUAUCUAUUACUAUUACUAUUACUAAAUACUAAAUAUUUUACUAAAUAAAAAGUAUAUGCUUUUAUUAAAUCAUGGCUUCUUAAUAUGUAUCUAUAUUUCUAUACCUACGUCUAUAUCUCUGUAUCUGUGCCAUUUAUGUAAAAAGCCCAUUUUAUUGAAAUAACCAAUACAUACACAUGCACACUGACCAAUCAAACUUACCUUGAUAAAAUAGCUCUAAGGUUCUCUUUCUGGCUUGAUAAAUAAUUUGCCUUGUGUUUGUAAAGUAUUUCAUUUAAGGCCACAAAUGAGUUUAUAACACAGAAAAUUGAAGGCCAGUCUUGCUGUCCCACUUUUUCUCCACAAAAUACAUGGCAGUUUCCCUUUUAGCAAAACUUGACUUCCAAUAUUUGCAAACUCAGUAACUAAAUAAAGCUUUGGGUUUAGGAAAACAGUUACAUUAUACUAUAUGAGAAUAUGUUUUUGCAAUCUUAAGAUAAAUUAUUGCAAUGAUAGUUUAACACUGAUUAUCUCUAUUUUUCAGAAGCAGAUUUUGCAAAGAGUGGUAUGUAAAAAGCAAUUAUCAUGUAAAAAAAUCAUUAUGAUUUACAUGAGAAGUUAGGAGGUAGUAACUUCCAUGACAGGGAUGCCUGUAAGAUAGUGUUCACAUUUGUGCUUGAUGGUUUUAGUUCAUUCCGGAUGCUGAGAGUUGCUAAGAGUUUACAUCCAAACUUAAAAAUGUCAGAGACCAAGGAAAAAAGUCAGCUGAGAAUUAACCUAGCUCUCUCUGAUGAGAUAGACAGCAACCUAACUUUGGGUGCCUUCACACUACUUUCCAGGCCAAUUCCUCUGAUACCAGACAAUGCCCAGAGGUCAGGGUGCAAAGCAGGCUCUGACUGCCCUCCUGCAAUCCCAUAGAGACCUCUCCCUCACACCUGAACAUUUAGUUUGGGGCUUUGCCUAUGAUUUUGAGUCAAGACUGACAGAGAUCUAAUCCAGGGUUCCUUUUCCAGUUUCAAGUCAGAUCCACAGAGCAAAUUUCGCAUUUUCAUCACCAAGAAGAGAGCUAAACAGAUAUAUUAGUUAUUUGCCUGUGGGAACAUACACCCUUUCUUGUGGGCAGGGAGCCUGGGAAAUCCCCUCGUAUUUCAAAAAUUCAAUUGUCAAAAAACAAAAGCCAAUUUUGAGUAAUCUUUGAGAUUUUACUAUAAUUCUGUGUCAAAGCAGAGUAUUGAGGAAAAGUUUAGUUUGCUAUAUUAGCCUAAGAUAUUGAGCUUAAAUUAAAUAUCCAGAAUAAUGGAUCCAGAAAAGCUAUUCUUAUUUUAGAGAGUUUUUGGCGUAUUACUUUUUUUUUUAAAGAAAUGUUGUAUUCAGUUGCUAAUGCCCAGGAUAAAAAUUAGAUCUAUGGUUCUCAAACUCCAGGGGGCCUCAAAAUUUCCUGGAAAACUUACUAAAACGCACAGACUCCCCCACCCCGAGUUUCAGAUCCAGUAAGUCUGAGAUGAGGCCUGAGAAUCUGCACUUCUAACAAAUUACCAGUGAUGCCGAUACUCUGGUUCAGGGUUCACACUUUGAGAACCACUUGAUUAGGUUGACUGUUUCAUUGAUUGUUAUAGAAACUAAAUUCUUCCCGCAACUCCAUUUCUAUUAUAAAUGUAGUAAUUGGUUCUAAUACUUUGUUGUCCUCAACAUGUAAUUGCGUAGAGUCUUUCUUAUUAAAAUCUCUCUCCAUAUCUUCUGACUUCCACCACUACUCUCGUAGUUUAGGCCAUCAUCAUCUCUCACCUGAAUGGUGGAAACAGCUUUUGAACUGCUUCUUCCCUCACUUUGCCUCCUGCCCAUCUCCAAUCCAUUCAUUAUAAAGAAAUAAUAACUAUUUUAAAGACAAUGUAAAUCUGAUUUUGUAGCUAGGCUUUCUUUCUUCUCCCUGCCUCCUCCUCUCUUUUCAAACCACCUCCAUUCAAGAAAAUAAAACGACAUUCAAUAACUUUCCAAAGACUCCCCUCUCACCCUCACCCCACUUCGCCUGGCUCAUUCAGAGUUAUUGUCAGAUCUUAGCUUAGAUAUCAUUUCCUUUGGGCAGCCUGCUUGACCUCCAUGGGAUGGAAUUAGAUGCCGUUCUUUGUGCACUGUUGGGGAAAUGUAAGUAAACAAAAUCUUCUCCCACCUCGGGAAACCUCUCCACAAAGGUAGUGGAGAAAUAAUCUAGUUUUUUAGAAAAUUGAAUAAGCAUUAAACCAAUAUGCAAUGUGCAUCAUAGGCCAUCCACUAAGAGAUUCCAAAGACUAAAGGAAAUCUUACCCUGUUAUGCAGCCAAAUGGACAUAACCCAUUACACACGUGUUUUUAAUAUAAACAAUAACUCAUCCUCAAGUGAGAGAACUUGGCCGUACCAUUUAUCACACGUAAUUAAUCUUAACUUUAUUCAGUGAUUAGAGUGACUAACUGUGUUAGCUAAGUGGCUUUAUCAGGGAGUGGGGGAAACUAACCCCAAACAAAAACCAAACAAAAACUUCUUAUAUUUUUAUGGGAGAAGGUAGUCUUGCAACUUGAAGCAAACCUUCCCACAGAAACUUGGAGAUAGGGGUGCUAUUUUUCUUGUUUGUAUUUCAAAAAGAUGUCUCUCAGGUCCUUGAGAAAGACAUUUCUGGCGCAUAACGCUGACAAAAAAUAUAUCUGGUUUUCAAUAGGAUUUGUGUACAUUUCAAAGAGAGGAGACAGUACUAAUAAUUUUAAGUUUUCUAAAGUAAAUACACUAAGAAAAAAGGAGGGAAGGGUAAGGCCUUUUUCUAUUUUUAAUAGAAUUAAGCUUCCUAUUUUUAAUUUCUUAUGUGUCCUUGCAGCACCCACAGCACUUGGUACUCCUCUUAAUACAUCCAAUGUACUGUCUAUCUCCCCCACUAGGGUGUGAGCCCUCUGAGAAUAGGACUGUUUCCUGAUGGUUGCUGUAGCCCUAUUCCUACACAUGCUAGAAAAUCAAUAAAAGCUUUAAUGACC